rnacentral:rRNA from 1 species
GAUGAACGCUGGCGGCGUGCCUAAUACAUGCAAGUCGAGCGAACGGACGAGAAGCUUGCUUUUCUGAUGUUAGCGGCGGACGGGUGAGUAACACGUGGAUAACCUACCUAUAAGACUGGUAUAACUUCGGGAAACGGGAGCUAAUACCGGAUAAUAUUUUGAACCGCAUGGUUCAAAAGUGAAAGACGGUCUUGCGGUCACUUAUAGAUGGAUCCGCGCUGCAUUAGCUAGUUGGUAAGGUAACGGCUUACCAAGGGAACGAUGCAUAGCCGACGUGAGAGGGUGAUCGGCCACACUGGAACUGAGACACGGUCCAGAGUCCUACGGGACGCAGCAGUAGGGAAUCUUCCGCAAUGGGCGAAAGUCUGACGGAGCAACGCCGAGUGAGUGAUGAAGGUCUUCGGAUCGUAAAACUCUGUUAUUAGGGAAGAACAUAUGUGUAAGUAACUGUGCACAUCUUGACGGUACCUAAUCAGAAAGCCACGGCUAACUACGUG